rnacentral:rRNA from 1 species
GCAGAGCACUCUACGGGAGGCAGCAGUGGGGAAUAUUGCACAAUGGGCGCAAGCCUGAUGCAGCCAUGCCGCGUGUAUGAAGAAGGCCUUCGGGUUGUAAAGUACUUUCAGCAGUGAGGAAGGUGGGUAUGUUAAUAGCAUACUCAUUUGACGUUAGCUGCAGAAGAAGCACCGGCUAACUCCGUGCCAGCAGCCGCGGUAAUACGGAGGGUGCGAGCGUUAAUCGGAAUUACUGGGCGUAAAGCGCAUGCAGGUGGUUUGUUAAGUCAGAUGUGAAAGCCCGGGGCUCAACCUCGGAAUUGCAUUUGAAACUGGCAAACUAGAGUACUGUAGAGGGGGUAGAAUUUCAGGUGUAGCGGUGAAAUGCGUAGAGAUCUGAAGGAAUACCGGUGGCGAAGGCGGCCCCCUGGACAGAUACUGACACUCAGAUGCGAAAGCGUGGGGAGCAAACAGGAUUAGAUACCCUGGUAG